rnacentral:ribozyme from 1 species
CGUUUCUCUCCUUUUUUUUUUUUUUGGUUUUCUUUUUCUUCUUCUCACGAGAAGAAGACGGGAAGGGA